UUUUAUUUGAGAGUUUGAUCCUGGCUCAGGAUGAACGCUGGCGGCGUGCCUAACACAUGCAAGUUGAGCGAUUUACUUCGGUAAAGAGCGGCGGACGGGUGAGUAACGCGUGGGUAACCUACCCUGUACACACGGAUAACAUACCGAAAGGUAUGCUAAUACGGGAUAAUAUAUUUGAGAGGCAUCUCUUAAAUAUCAAAGGUGAGCCAGUACAGGAUGGACCCGCGUCUGAUUAGCUAGUUG
rnacentral:rRNA from 1 species